AGCGUAGACGGUGUGGCAAGUCUGAUGUGAAAGGCAUGGGCUCAACCUGUGGACUGCAUUGGAAACUGUCAUACUUGAGUGCCGGAGGGGUAAGCGGAAUUCCUAGUGUAGCGGUGAAAUGCGUAGAUAUUAGGAGGAACACCAGUGGCGAAGGCGGCUUACUGGACUGUAACUGACGUUGAGGCUCGAAAGUGUGGUAGCAAACA
rnacentral:rRNA from 1 species